AUUGAACGCUGGCGGCAUGCCUUACACAUGCAAGUCGAACGGCAGCACGGGAGCAAUCCUGGUGGCGAGUGGCGAACGGGUGAGUAAAGUAUCGGAACGUGCCCAGUCGUGGGGGAUAACGUAGCGAAAGUUACGCUAAUACCGCAUACGAUCUAUGGAUGAAAGCGGGGGAUCGCAAGACCUCGCGCGAUUGGAGCGGCCGAUAUCAGAUUAGGUAGUUGGUGGGGUAAAGGCUCACCAAGCCGACGAUCUGUAGCUGGGCUGAGAGGACGACCAGCCAAACUGGGACUGAGACACGGCCCAGACUCCUACGGGAGGCAGCAGUGGGGAAUUUUGGACAAUGGGCGAAAGCCUGAUCCAGCCAUGCCGCGUGCAGGAUGAAGGCCUUCGGGUUGUAAACUGCUUUUGUACGGAACGAAAAGGUUUGGGCUAAUAAGCUGAGCUCAUGACGGUACCGUAAGAAUAAGCACCGGCUAACUACGUGCCAGCCGCCGCAGUAA
rnacentral:rRNA from 1 species